rnacentral:ribozyme from 1 species
CUGAUGCGCUUUUGUGCUUCCUUCCUGUACGUUUGUAGAGAUCUCGUUUCUGUCUUGUCAUGAACUGUCUGGAAU